UCACACCUGGGCUUGGCCCUGACUGUCUUCCCCCAUAUUUUACAUCUUCUUCCCUCUGUGUGUGUUUGUCACCAUGUUCAAAUCUCACCUUUUUAUAAAGACACCAGUUAUAUUGGAUUAAGACCCACUGUAAUGACUUCAUUUUUAACUUUAUUCAGCAAAGUCCCUAUUUACAAAUAAGUUUAUACCCAGAAAGAUGAAGAAUUAGGACUCCAGUUUAUCUUUUCUGGGGGGAUGAAACUAACCUGUAUGACUCACAAAAACUUGCAUUCCUGGAAUUAUGUCAUCUUCUGGGGCACCAGAGCAUUAUAGUUCUGUGUGAGUGAUCAGGUAUGAUUUAGACACCUCGUAAAAAGAGAAGGAAUAGUUAUUUUAUCCACAUUUCUGUUCUUGCUAUUUUUCAUUCCUUCUUGCUGAUGUGCCAAGAUGCUUUCUCUUACCAUUCUUUCUCUUUCCACUGCUGCUGUCAAUCAUCUCUAAGGGUCAACCUCUAGCAAAAC
rnacentral:lncRNA from 1 species